GGCUUCCAACAGGAAAUUACAUUAAAUACCAACAAGAUUGAUCAGCUCAUUGUGUUUGGGGAGCAGCUGAUUCAGAAGAGCGAGCCCCUGGAUGCCGUGCUGAUUGAGGAUGAGCUGGAGGAACUCCACCGCUACUGCCAGGAGGUGUUCGGAAGGGUCUCCCGGUUCCACCGGCGGCUCACCUCCUGCACUCCGGGCUUGGAAGAUGAAAAGGAGGCCUCUGAGAAUGAAACGGACAUGGAAGACGCCAGAGAGAUCCAGACUAAUUCUUGGCGUAAACGGGCAGAGAGCGAGGAACCAUCAUCUCCUCAGUCCCUGUGUCAUCUAGUGGCCCCGGGGCACGAGCGGUCUGGCUGCGAGACCCCUGUCAGCGUGGACUCCAUCCCCCUGGAGUGGGACCACACAGGCGACGUGGGGGGCUCCUCCUCUCACGAAGAGGACGAGGAGGGCCCAUACUACAGCGCACUGUCAGGUAACAACUGGGUUCCCAGCACCCUGGAAAGUGACCCGUUUGGCUAUGUUUUUA
rnacentral:sRNA from 1 species